rnacentral:rRNA from 1 species
UACGGGGGGAGCAAGCGUUGUUCGGAUUUACUGGGCGUAAAGGGCGCGUAGGCGGUCAGCACAAGUCAGUUGUGAAAUCUCCGGGCUUAACUCGGAAAGGUCAACUGAUACUGUGCGACUAGAGUGCAGAAGGGGCAACUGGAAUUCUCGGUGUAGCGGUGAAAUGCGUAGAUAUCAGGAAGAACACCCGUGGCGAAGGCGGUUCUCUGGGACGGUACUGACGCUGAGACGCGAAAGCGUGGGGAGCGAACAGG